ACCUGGGUGGCUCAGUCUGUUAAGCAUCCGACUUCAGCUCGGGUCAUGAUCUCAGUUUGUGGGUUUGAGCCCCACAUCAGGCU
rnacentral:tRNA from 1 species